rnacentral:tRNA from 1 species
GCACCCGUAGCUCAGCUGGAUAGAGCGCUGCCCUCCGAAGGCAGAGGUCGCAAGUUCGAAUCUUGCCGGGUGCGCCA